rnacentral:rRNA from 1 species
UACGUAGGUGGCGAGCGUUGUCCGGAUUUACUGGGCGUAAAGAGCGCGCAGGCGGUCGUACAAGUCGCGUGUGAAAGCCCCCGGCUCAACUGGGGAGGGUCACGCGAUACUGUUCGACUCGAAGGCAGGAGAGGGAAGUGGAAUUCCCGGUGUAGUGGUGAAAUGCGUAGAUAUCGGGAGGAACACCAGUGGCGAAGGCGGCUCUCUGGGACGGUACUGACGCUGAGACGCGAAAGCGUGGGGAGCGAACAGG